AUGCCUUAAACUAAUGAGUAAGGAAAAUAUAGAGCCUAGUUAACUCUGGGUUCAGCUACCUAGUUAUUGGAAUAACUGCA
rnacentral:snRNA from 1 species